rnacentral:rRNA from 1 species
CCUACGGGUGGCAGCAGUAGGGAAUAUUGCUCAAUGGGGGAAACCCUGAUGCAGCGAUGCCGCGUGAAUGAAGACGGCCUUCGGGUUGUAGAGCUCUGUCGCAGGGGACGAAAAUGACUGUACCCUGCAAGAAAGCUCCGGCUAACUACGUUCCAGCAGCGGCGGUAAUACGUAGGGAGCAAGCGUUGUCCGGAUUUACUGGGGGUAAAGGGAGCGUAGGCGGGUGGAUAAGAUGGAUGUGAAAUCUAUGGGCUCAACCCAUAGCUGCGUUCAAAACUGUUCUUCUUGAGUGAAGUAGAGGCAGGCGGAAUUCCUAGUGUAGCGGUGAAAUGCGUAGAUAUUAGGAGGAACACCAGUGGCGAAGGCGGCCUGCUGGGCUUUUACUGACGCUGAGGCUCGAAAGCGUGGGUAGCAAACAGGAUUAGAUACCCGUGUAGUC